GACGAACGCUGGCGGCGCGCUUAACACAUGCAAGUCGAACGGUGAAGCGCCUUCCUUUUUGGUGGGUGUGGAUGAGUGGCGAACGGGUGAGUAACACGUGAGUAACCUGCCCCCUUCUUCUGGAUAACCGCAUGAAAGUGUGGCUAAUACGGGAUAUUCUGGGUCUGUCGCAUGAUGGGUCUGGGAAAGAUAUUGUUUCGGUGGGGGAUGGGCUCGCGGCCUAUCAGCUUGUUGGUGGGGUGAUGGCCUACCAAGGCGGUGACGGGUAGCCGGCCUGAGAGGGUGGACGGUCACAAUGGGACUGAGACACGGCCCAGACUCCUACGGGAGGCAGCAGUGGGGUAUAUUGCACAAUGGGCGCAAGCCUGAUGCAGCGACGCCGCGUGAGGGAUGGAGGCCUGCGGGUUGUGAACCUCUUUCGCCAGUGAAGCAGGCCUGCCUCGUUUGUGGGUGGGUUGACGGUAGCUGGAUAAGAAGCGCCGGCUAACUACGUG
rnacentral:rRNA from 1 species